rnacentral:rRNA from 1 species
GUGGGGAAUAUUGGGCAAUGGGCGAAAGCCUGACCCAGCAACGCCGCGCGAAGGAAGAAGGUUUUCGGAUCGUAAACUUCUAUCCUUGGUGAAGAUAAUGACGGUAGCUAAGAAGGAAGCCCCGGCUAACUACGUGCCAGCAGCCGCGGUAAUACGUAGGGGGCAAGCGUUGUCCGGAAUGAUUGGGCGUAAAGGGCGCGUAGGCGGCCCGGUAAGUCUGAAGUGAAAGUCCUGCUUUUAAGGUGGGAAUUGCUUUGGAUACUGUCGGGCUUGAGUGCAGGAGAGGUAAGCGGAAUUCCCGGUGUAGCGGUGAAAUGCGUAGAGAUCGGGAGGAACACCAGUGGCGAAGGCGGCUUACUGGACUGUAACUGACGCUGAGGCGCGAAAGUGUGGGGAGCAAACAGGAUUAGAUACCCCGGUAGUCC